rnacentral:rRNA from 1 species
GAUGAACGCUGGCGGCGUGCCUAAUACAUGCAAGUCGAGCGAACAGACGAGGAGCUUGCUCCUUUGACGUUAGCGGCGGACGGGUGAGUAACACGUGGAUAACCUACCUAUAAGACUGGGAUAACUUCGGGAAACCGGAGCUAAUACCGGAUAACAUGUUGAACCGCAUGGUUCAACAGUGAAAGACGGUCUUGCUGUCACUUAUAGAUGGAUCCGCGCCGCAUUAGCUAGUUGGUAAGGUAACGGCUUACCAAGGCAACGAUGCGUAGCCGACCUGAGAGGGUGAUCGGCCACACUGGAACUGAGACACGGUCCAGACUCCUACGGGAGGCAGCAGUAGGGAAUCUUCCGCAAUGGGCGAAAGCCUGACGGAGCAACGCCGCGUGAGUGAAGAAGGUCUUCGGAUCGUAAAACUCUGUUAUUAGGGAAGAACAAAUGUGUAAGUAACCAUGCACGUCUUGACGGUACCUAAUCAGAAAGCCACGGCUAACUACGUG